UACGGAGGGUGCAAGCGUUAUCCGGAUUCACUGGGUUUAAAAGGGUGCGUAGGAGGGCAGGGAAGUCAGUGGUGAAAUCCUAGAGCUUAACUCUAGAACUGCCGUUGAUACUCUCUGUCUUGAAUCCCGUGGAGAUGAGCGGAAUAUGUCAUGUAGCGGUGAAAUGCUUAGAUAUGACAUAGAACACCAAUUGCGAAGGCAGCUCGUUACACGAAGAUUGACUCUGAGGCACGAAAAGCAUGGGGGAUCAAAACAGGG
rnacentral:rRNA from 1 species